rnacentral:lncRNA from 1 species
GUCAGAGCCAGAUGGAAUGCCUAAAGCAUAAUCAGGUUUAGGCUUUUUUUUGAUCUCCAAAUGACUCCAUGGCAGUCCUGAGCACGGAAGCCCCAAAUCACUGCCUCUUCAGCUUGUUUCAAAAGACUGAGUCUCACACUGUCACCCGGGCUGGAGUGCAGUAGUGUGAUCUUGGUUCACUGCAACCACCGCCUCCCAGGUUCAAGCAAUUCUUCUGCCUCAGCUUCCUGAGUAGCUGGGAUUACAGGAGCCAGCCACCACACCCAGUUGAAAUUCUAACCCCCAAAAAAACUUACCACGGGAGGAGACAAGAUGGCCGAAUAGG